AUUGAACGCUGGCGGCAUGCCUUACACAUGCAAGUCGAACGGUAACGGGCCUUCGGGUGCCGACGAGUGGCGAACGGGUGAGUAAUACAUCGGAACGUGCCCGAUCGUGGGGGAUAACGAGGCGAAAGCUUUGCUAAUACCGCAUACGAUCUACGGAUGAAAUCAGGGGACCGCAAGGCCUUGCGCGGGCGGAUCGGCCGAGGGCCGAGUAGUUAGUUGGUGGGGUAAAAGCUUACCAAGCCGACGAUCUGUAGCUGUUCCGAGAGGAUGAUCAUCCACACUGGGACGGAGACACGGCCAAGACUCCUACGGGAGGGAGCAGUGGGGAAUUGUGGACAAUGGGCGCAAGCCUGAUCCAGCCAUGCCGAGUGCAGGACGAAGGCCUUCGGGUUGUAAACUGCUUUUGUACGGAACGAAAAGCCUUCUUUUAAUACAGGAGGGUCAUGACGGUACCGUAAGAAUAAGCACCGGCUAACUACGUG
rnacentral:rRNA from 1 species